rnacentral:lncRNA from 1 species
GAGAAGUGGGAGAAGGAGACAACAAAAAUAAAACCGAGCAAAACCAAGACCAGAGAGACCUGGACAUCUUAAAGAAUACAGUUCUUUCAUAUUCUGCUCACACUGGCAAAUACAUAUAUUUCAGUUUCAUAUUCCUAUCAUCUUCAGCAUGCCUGCUAAUUUUUUAAACCACACGGCAUGAUCACUUUCUUUUAUAUAUGAAUAGCACCCUCCUAAAAUCAUCUGUUGCCUAUAGCAGAGGUUACUUGAACCAUAAUUUGCAACAGUGUAUUCUGACCAUAAUUCUUCAUCAAUUCAAACGCAGUAACCCUACCCUCUGAGUACUGUGAUAACCCCACGACCCUUCCAUCUUCUGCACUUUAUUCUGCAUUCACAGAUUAUUUCAAUGCAAUUUGCUAUAGUUUAGACUUCAUUAUGCUACUUGAUAGCUCUACUUCAUUACACUUUUUUUUUUUUUUUCCUAUAUUGAAUGACUAUUUUAUGUAACUCAUGUUUUGACUGCAGUAUGCAGUCGUUUGCUGCAGGCUGACUACAGUGGUUGAGUGUUUGAGAAGAUAAUCAGAAAAGGCUAGCUUCUCUUUCCUUGCACCUUUCCCAUGCCAAAAGAAAGCAUAUGAUGACAGAGGGAGGACCAGAUGGAAAAGAGGUAUUCCCUGGUGAAGCUGUGCGGGGGCACACUCUCUGUGGUUGGAGCCCUUGUGUCCGACAUUAGUGCUCUCACCGUGGAGGUGUUCGACUGAGCUCACUGCUGCAGCGGCGUGGCUUUCCCUCAUUCCAGGAAUUUAAGAACCAGUUAUUUGGAGAGGUAACUCUUCAGCCACACAUCCAAUUUGCCCAACUGAGCAGAGGAGGAAUGGAGAAAGUAUUCUUAUGUGGAGCAGUAGGAACAACCCCAGGAACAUCAGAGGCAACACAGCGGGGCUGGGAACUGAGCACUGACUUGGGAAAAGAUGAAGCCCAAGAGGCUUCUGGGGUCUGAAUCUGGGGCAGAUCCACCAUCUUUCAUGGCAGCCCCACACUCCUUCCAUCUCAAGAGGACUGUGGAAGAAAAACUCAGCCUGAAAUAGGUCUUUUC